rnacentral:misc_RNA from 1 species
UAUUGUAUCAAACAUUAAAUAAAGUGUAAGAAUAGUUUCUUAUAUAUUUUGUAUCAUAUGUUUCACGCAUCUUUAAUAGUUCGUCAGUAAAACACUGCAUAAAAUUGGAGCAAAGAGAAACUUUUCAACAUAGAUACACAGUCGCAAUACAGCCGUGUUAGCGACUUCUUACGACGUGCGUCAUUCUUUCAUGUUAUAAAGUACUUUGUUAUUUGUGUUCCGUCAUCCGACAUGUGAACAAUAAGAGACACAUAUAUCUAGUGUGGGACACGAAAAAUGCUAAUUUCAAAAAACAAGUAUUACGACAAUUGCAAAUAAUUAAUAUCAGACAACAACAAAUGUCAGAAGAUAUUAUAUUAUUGAUGUCAGUAUAUUAUUGAUGAAAGCAAAUUCAGAGAAAAAUGAACCGAUUGUUUCAAAUAAAGAUUCUAUAUUUAAAACUUAUAAUUUCCCUCUGAAAACUGUAGCAGAAUUGGAAGAACUAGAAGAAUUUUUAAUCCAGAAUGAAAAUUUCAACACUUUUGUCAAAGAAAUUUUACAAAUUGGGGGAACAUCUUACAAAAAUAUGGUGAAACGUAUAUUGCCAAGAAUAAUGUCUAAUGAUUUGGCGAAGACAUAUAGUUGGAUAGGUUUUAAAGGAAAACAGAAGUUCUCGAAUCUUCGAACUUGCUCAGCAAUAUUAACAGCUACUCAAAAAACGCACGGUUGUUCCAAAUCUACGAAGAUGUAAUCAAAUAUUGGCUUGUAAAAGCUACUGAACGACAAAAGCAAUCAUAGAAAGAAAAGAUAUCGUAAGAUUGUUUCCUUCCAAGUAAAAGAACAUUGACUGUUCAACAUUUUCGAAGUUUGUUUAAUAAUUAAUAACAUGUUCGACAUAUAUUUACUAAUUAUUCAUUUCUUUAACAAUU